AGAUUCAAGAUAGAAGCAAGUUUUGUACGCCAAUGGGAUUCGACCGUAGUGACAAGCGUCUCCGUGACGAAGAGACAGUUGUCAGAAAAAGAAACGACGCCGACCGAGCUGAAACCGGCGUUAUUUUCUGACAAACCGGGGUGCAACUAAAUAGGGGGCAUUACUGCAAUGUUCUGCCGCCAGAGUGCAGCACUAGCACGCAUCGUAAACCAUAGAGUAACUUAUACACACUGUGCCUUAAACUUUUUUUUGACAAGUUUUCACAGACAAUAAAAUAUGACAUUGAUGCA